rnacentral:tRNA from 1 species
GGGGAUGUAGUUCAGUGGUAGAGCUCCUGCUUUACAAGCAUGAGGUCCAGGGAUUGAUUCCCGGUGCCUCCC